AAACCAGCCCGUUACACCUGAACUCUGCCUGUGACGCCACGAGGGUGUUUUAGCCGCAGGGUCGAAGGUAUGUUCUUCCCAACGCCAGCCUGAAACGCGGGUCGGGAGCUCCGCGGGGCCCCUUGUGCGAAGCUUUGGGGACGGCCACCGGCAACGGCACGUUCGCGGGCCGCCCCGGCGCUCGCCGGCACGCGCGGCUGCUGGGCAGCGUGGAAACAUUGAGGGCGGUUGUCGAGAAAAAGGAAAGCAACGAGCCCAGAAUCGGGGGAACGGAGGAGAAAUAAGCCGUGCCCGCUGUUACUCCCACCCCGCUGCUAGCGCAAAGAGCCGGUGACUCUGCCAGGACGAGGGCAGGCACCUGCGUGGAGAAGCCCGCGGGAAAGCCGGGAUGGGGACGGCGGCACCUGGCAGCGUUUAGCACUUGAUAAAUGAAGAGGUCACAGACACUCAGCAGGAUUUCCUGCGAGGAAGUGGUGUGUGACUCUUCCCAGAGCGUUACUGCUUCAUGCGCCGGGAAUGUUGUGGGUUUGGAAGCACCGAGUGCUCUGGGAAGAGCUGCGUCUCCUUCCAGACCUAGCUUUGCCCUCCAGCUCUUCCCAGGGCAGCUCUUUGUCUCUGACCCGGUGGCGACAGCGACGCGGCUCUUCGCGGAGGUGACCGGGGACUGGGCUUGCUCCGUCCUCCAGGUCCGGCUGUGCAGAUCGUUGCGGUGGAGACGGGGAUCUGCACGGCGCAUACCCAGCUCUGGCUGCCAUCUGGUGCUGGGUUUCUUCCUCACUUCAAGUGCAGCCCUCCCUGUCGCCCCAAAUAAUACCUGCAACGCACCUACCGCGGCUGAAACCUCGGGGUUUGUCCCAGCAGGCGCGCCCCCGGCCUCGCCGGUGCCG